CAGCCCGCGGCACUGGCGGGGCCCAGGUGCGGUGCAGAGGGUGUGGGAGGCCAAGAAGCUCGGGAGGAGCGAGAGAGGCGGCAGCGGCUGAAGGGGUGCUGUGUUUCUCAGAGAAUGGUCCCAAGUGGAUUCCAGCAAGAAUGUGAAGCCUUUUUUAGAAUCUUUGAGUGCAUCCCCUGAAGAUUCACCUUGAACACCAACAUUGGCCAAGAACCCUUGUGAACAGGACCUCAACACCACACCAGCACCUCUUUAACCUCUAACAGACUUAUGCCCUUGGGAAAAUGGUUAAGAUUACCCAGUGGUAUCAGGGUUCACAGGGCUAGGAAAACUUCUGGGGGAUUGGAGACUUGGUGGAUGGAUAAGAAAUUUAGUUAAAAUAGGCUUCUAUGUAUUAGGCAUUGUAUUAUGUAUUGCUAUGGUUAUUCCUUGUAUUUACACUGUGUGAAAAAAUUAAUAGGCAACUCACUUAAGAGAGUAUUUUUUCUUGAACACAUAGAGGGAGGUAUGGGGAAUAAAACAGAGAGUACAGUGGAACUGAUAAAGGGGCCUGAUAUCUUAGGCCUGAUCGAGCAGAAACUGUGGGAGGGACAGACACAGAUUAAGGCUUCACUGGGCAAGAAGUGACCAAGAAACAUGUUGUGAGACUUUGUGAUGUUAGCAGGUGAUGUGAUGUCAUGAAGAAUGUGUAACCAAUGGGAAAUUGUUACCAAAAAUAGAGCCCUAUAUAAGUACCAUACAAGUCAAACCCUAUAUAAACCCCUGGUAUAUUCAAUAAAAUUGGCUCCUGAUCUAAA